rnacentral:rRNA from 1 species
AUUGAACGCUGGCGGCAGGCCUAACACAUGCAAGUCGAGCGGUAGAAGGGCGCUUGCUCCUGGCUUCAGCGGCGGACGGGUGUGUAAUGCCUAGGCAUCUGCCUGGGAGUGGGGGAUAACGUCCGGAAAGGGGCGCUAAUACCGCAUACGUCCUGAGGGAGAAAGUGGGGGAUCUUCGGACCUCACGCUAUCAGCUGAGCCUAGGUCGGAUUGGCUAGUUGGUGGGGUAAGGGCCUACCAAGGCGACGAUCCGUAACUGGUCUGAGAGGAUGAUCAGUCACACUGGAACUGAGACACGGUCCAGACUCCUACGGGAGGCAGCAGUGGGGAAUAUUGGACAAUGGGCGAAAGCCUGAUCCAGCCAUGCCGCGUGUAUGAAGAAGGUCUUCGGAUUGUAAAGCACUUUAAGUUGGGAGGAAGGGCAGUAAGUUAAUACCUUGCUGUUUUGACGUUACCAACAGAAUAAGCACCGGCUAACUUCGUG